UUGCCAGAGAGUAGUCUGAAUUCAGUUACAGUUCACAAACUGUCUUUCGUAUUUGACUAUUCUUUAAGCUGCACAUCUUCACUUUCCCAAUCUUAUUACCAUCAUCCCAUUUCAGUCAGGUAGCAAGAGAAUUUCUGUUAAGGAAGAUAUAGGUUUAACUAAUGGCUUCUCGCCAACGUGCAUUCUCAGACCUUCCUAAGAGUAAGAUACUCCUUACGAAAGCUUCUGGCUAACAAGGGUAAAAA